GAGGGCCCGCCCUGGCCCUCUGCCUUCCUCCCUCCCCGCAUGGGACAGGCUCUCCCAGGAGGCCUCUCCUGGUCCUGGUCCCUCUCCCCUGCACAGCAGGGAUGUGGCUUCCUGUCUGCCUAUCUAUCCUCACUGCAGUCCGGUGCCCUGCAGGAAAUCACCCUCAAGUCUGCCUCCCACAGAGAACUUGGAGCAUCAUCUGGAACCAGGUUCAGGGGGCGGUACACAGGCGCUGCGGUUCAGGGAGCCGGCACUGGGCUGGCCUGGGAGGGCCACCUGCAGCCCGUGGAAGAUGGCGUGACCGGCUGAUGCCGGGCUCCAUGGUUUCUCCCCGCACUGCACGCCAUGUCCCUCCACCCCGCCCCGUCCCCUCUCGCCUCCCCCCAGGGGUCCCCUUGGAACUUGCACCAAGGCCAGCACCUCAACCCCACACAGCUGCAAGCCUGAACGAGUUUGCAGAACUUAAACGUCCCCGCCCCAUGAGACCAGACCGAGGUGACUUUCGACCUUGACGCACAGGAGAAGUGUGCCCCUGUACGGGGCUCAGGGCCUUUUCAUCGCUGCUGCCCGACCCCCGUGGGUCCUCUCCGGGACUGUAGAGAAAGAAAUCCCAAUAAACUGAGAGUCCUGCCU